rnacentral:sRNA from 1 species
GAAUGACUUCCUUAUUAGAUUCAAACUAAAGCAACAUUAAUAAAAUUUUUUUAUGGAGGUUUCAUAUUAUGAAGCAAGGUACUGUUAAAUGGUUUAACGCUGACAAGGGUUACGGUUUUAUUACAACUGACGAUGGUGACGUAUUCGUUCACUUCUCAGCUAUUAACAAAGACGGAUUCAAGACUCUUGAUGAAGGCGAAAAAGUUACUUUGGAUGUUGAAGAUGGCGAUCGUGGCCCACAAGCUGCUAACGUUACUCCAGUUGAAGAAUAAUCAACUUUUAAAAAGAUCUCAACUUCGGUUGGGAUCUUUUUU